rnacentral:rRNA from 1 species
UGGGGAAUUUUCCGCAAUGGGCGAAAGCCUGACGGAGCAAUACCGCGUGAGGGAGGAAGGUUCUUGGAUUGUAAACCUCUUUUCUUAGGGAAGAAGUUCUGACGGUACCUAAGGAAUAAGCAUCGGCUAACUCCGUGCCAGCAGCCGCGGUAAUACGGAGGAUGCAAGCGUUAUCCGGAAUUAUUGGGCGUAAAGCGUCCGUAGGUGGUGUUUCAAGUCUGCCGUCAAAGCAUGGAGCUUAACUCCAUAAAGGCGGUGGAAACUGAGAGACUAGAGUACAGUAGGGGUAGCAGGAAUUCCCAGUGUAGCGGUGAAAUGCGUAGAUAUUGGGAAGAACAUCGGUGGCGAAAGCGUGCUACUGGACUGAAACUGACACUGAGGGACGAAAGCUAGGGUAGCG